CUGGGCUGCACGCAGCCCCAGUAUGGUGUACCAGCAAAAGCCAGUGUGCUGUACCGGGGAGGCCCAGCUUCCCCAGGGAGCAAUUUAAAAGACCUGGGGCUCCCAGCAGGGGCUGGAGCCCCAGGCCCUUUAAAUUGCCACCAGAUCACCACUGCUGGAGCUCUAGGGUAGAGUUGUGGGGCUCUGGGGGCUAUUU